AACGCUAGCUACAGGCUUAACACAUGCAAGUCGAGGGGCAGCAUGGUCUUAGCUUGCUAAGGCCGAUGGCGACCGGCGCACGGGUGAGUAACACGUAUCCAACCUGCCGUCUACUCUUGGACAGCCUUCUGAAAGGAAGAUUAAUACAAGAUGGCAUCAUGAGUCCGCAUGUUCACAUGAUUAAAGGUAUUCCGGUAGACGAUGGGGAUGCGUUCCAUUAGAUAGUAGGCGGGGUAACGGCCCACCUAGUCUUCGAUGGAUAGGGGUUCUGAGAGGAAGGUCCCCCACAUUGGAACUGAGACACGGUCCAAACUCCUACGGGAGGCAGCAGUGAGGAAUAUUGGUCAAUGGGCGCAGGCCUGAACCAGCCAAGUAGCGUGAAGGAUGACUGCCCUAUGGGUUGUAAACUUCCUUUAUAAAGGAAUAAAGUCGGGUAUGGAUACCCGUUUGCAUGUACUUUAUGAAUAAGGAUCGGCUAACUCCGUGCCAGCAGCCGCGGUAAUACGGAGGAUCCGAGCGUUAUCCGGAUUUAUUGGGUUUAAAGGGAGCGUAGAUGGAUGUUUAAGUCAGUUGUGAAAGUUUGCGGCUCAACCGUAAAAUUGCAGUUGAUACUGGAUAUCUUGAGUGCAGUUGAGGCAGGCGGAAUUCGUGGUGUAGCGGUGAAAUGCUUAGAUAUCACGAAGAACUCCGAUUG
rnacentral:rRNA from 1 species